rnacentral:rRNA from 1 species
CAGUCGCCACGGGAAUACGUAGGUGGCAAGCGUUGUCCGGAAUUAUUGGGCGUAAAGAGCUCGUAGGCGGUCCGUCGCGUCGAAUGUGAAAACCCGGGGCUCAACUCCGGGCUUGCAUUCGAUACGGGCGGACUAGAGUUCGGUAGGGGAGACUGGAAUUCCUGGUGUAGCGGUGAAAUGCGCAGAUAUCAGGAGGAACACCGGUGGCGAAGGCGGGUCUCUGGGCCGAUACUGACGCUGAGGAGCGAAAGCGUGGGGAGCGAACAGGAUUAGAUACCCGAGUAGUCCCUGUCUCUUAUAA